UACGAAGGGGGCUAGCGUUGCUCGGAAUCACUGGGCGUAAAGGGUGCGUAGGCGGGUCUUUUAAGUCAGGGGUGAAAUCCUGGAGCUCAACUCCAGAACUGCCUUUGAUACUGAGGAUCUUGAGUCCGGGAGAGGUGAGUGGAACUGCGAGUGUAGAGGUGAAAUUCGUAGAUAUUCGGAAGAACACCAGUGGCGAAGGCGGCUCACUGGUCCGGUACUGACGCUGAGGUGCGAAAGCGUGGGGAGCAAACAGG
rnacentral:rRNA from 1 species